rnacentral:tRNA from 1 species
AUUUAAGUAGUUUAAGUAUAAAACAAUAAUUUGUGGGGUUAGAGAUAUAUUAAAUAAUAUCUUAAGUU